rnacentral:rRNA from 1 species
UACGUAGGGUGCAAGCGUUAAUCGGAAUUACUGGGCGUAAAGCGUGCGCAGGCGGUUGUGCAAGACAGAUGUGAAAUCCCCGGGCUCAACCUGGGAAUUGCAUUUGUGACUGCACGGCUAGAGUGUGUCAGAGGGGGGGUAGAAUUCCACGUGUAGCAGUGAAAUGCGUAGAUAUGCGGAGGAACACCGAUGGCGAAGGCAAUCCCCUGGGCCUGCACUGACGCUCAUGCACGAAAGCGUGGGGAGCAAACAGG